rnacentral:rRNA from 1 species
AGAGUUUGAUCCUGGCUCAGAACGAACGUUGGCGGCGUGCUUAACACAUGCAAGUCGAACGAGAAAGUUCCUUCGGGAAUGAGUAAAGUGGCGCACGGGUGAGUAACGCGUAAGUAAUCUACCUUGGCAUUUGGAAUAACUACGGGAAGCUGUAGCUAAUACCGGAUACGUUCUCCUUUCUACGGAUUGGAGAAGAAAGAUGACCUCUUCUUGAAAGUUAUCGUGCUAAGAGGAGCUUGCGUACCAUUAGCUAGUUGGUAGGGUAAUGGCCUACCAAGGCAACGAUGGUUAGCGGGUCUGAGAGGAUGAUCCGCCACACUGGAACUGGAACACGGACCAGACUCCUACGGGAGGCAGCAGUGAGGAAUAUUGCGCAAUGGGGGAAACCCUGACGCAGCGACGCCGCGUGGAUGAUGAAGGCCUUAGGGUCGUAAAAUCCUGUCAGGUGGGAAGAAAUGUACGAGGGAACAAUACCCCUUGUGCUUGACGGUACCACCAAAGGAAGCACCGGCUAACUCAGUGCCAGCAGCCGCGGUAAUACUGAGGGUGCAAACGUUGUUCGGAAUUACUGGGCGUAAAGCGCGCGUAGGCGGUUUGUUAAGUCAGAUGUGAAAGCCCAAGGCUCAA